rnacentral:rRNA from 1 species
CAACCUGCCGCUUACUCGGGGAUAGCCUUUCGAAAGAAAGAUUAAUACCCGAUGGUAUAAAGAGUUCGCAUGUUCUCUUUAUUAAAGAAUUUCGGUAAGCGAUGGGGAUGCGUUCCAUUAGAUAGUUGGCGGGGUAACGGCCCACCAAGUCUACGAUGGAUAGGGGUUCUGAGAGGAAGGUCCCCCACAUUGGAACUGAGACACGGUCCAAACUCCUACGGGAGGCAGCAGUGAGGAAUAUUGGUCAAUGGACGAGAGUCUGAACCAGCCAAGUAGCGUGAAGGAUGACUGCCCUAUGGGUUGUAAACUUCUUUUAUAAGGGAAUAAAGUGAGGGACGUGUCCCUUUUUGUAUGUACCUUAUGAAUAAGGAUCGGCUAACUCCGUGCCAGCAGCCGCGGUAAUACGGAGGAUCCAAGCGUUAUCCGGAUCUAUUGGGUUUAAAGGGAGCGUAGGUUGACAUAUAAGUCAGCUGUGAAAGUUUACGGCUCAACCGUGAAAUUGCAGUUGAUACUGUAUGUCUUGAGUGUACAAGAGGUGGGCGGAAUUCGUGGUGUAGCGGUGAAAUGCUUAGAUAUCACGAAGAACUCCGAUUG